CCUACGGGAGGCAGCAGUGGGGGAUAUUGCACAAUGGGGGAAACCCUGAUGCAGCGACGCCGCGUGGGCGAAGAAGUAUUUCGGUAUGUAAAGCCCUAUCAGCAGGGAAGAAGAAAUGACGGUACCUGAGUAAGAAGCACCGGCUAAAUACGUGCCAGCAGCCGCGGUAAUACGUAUGGUGCAAGCGUUAUCCGGAUUUACUGGGUGGAAAGGGAGCGCAGGCGGCACGGCAAGCCUGAUGUGAAAGCCCGCGGCCCAACCGCGGGACUGCAUUGGGAACUACCGGGCUGGAGUGCCGGAGAGGUAGGCGGAAUUCCUAGUGUAGCGGUGAAAUGCGUAGAUAGUAGGAGGAACACCAGUGGCGAAGGCGGCCUACUGGACGGUGACUGACGCUGAGGCUCGAAAGCGUGGGGAGCAAACAGGAUUAGAUACCCGAGUAGUC
rnacentral:rRNA from 1 species